rnacentral:lncRNA from 1 species
AUUGUCUCUUCUCUCGGGGUUUUGGGGGGUGGUGGUGAGUGGGAGUCCUGGGUCUCCUGGGAAGUAGCAGCUUCACUGUUCAAGGUGAAAGCUACAGGGUUCCCAGUGGUUUCAGCUUCUAAGUAUUGAGGGGAAUGCAGGGAGCGCCCCCUGGUGGUGAUGAGCAGUAAAGACAUUUGGGGGACUUGCUCCGCCAAAUAGAUGUUUUGAGAAGGAGGCUGCAGAUGGGGAUUUGAGGAGGGGGUCCAAGAUCUCAUCCAGGCCCUGGGCUUCCAGCCCCACCUCAUUGGCAGCAUGUGUCCCACACGCCCCUCUUCUAGGUCCACCCCAGGGGUAGCAAGUGAAUUAGCAUAAGGGCACUGUGAUGGGAAGCCUUGCCCCCCACCCCCUCUUUUUUAAUAUCUGCGGAAUAAAUCCAAUGGUUGACUUUUGAAUGAAUAAAAAG